AGAUGUAAUCUGGCUGCGACAUCUGUCACCUAUUGAUGGCCAGGGUUGAUUUGGCUAAUCUGGCUGGAUAGACGGGUGUUCCCUUCCUUCCUCACCGCUCCAUGUGCGUCCCUCGGGAAGCUGCGAUUAGUCAAAGAGUAUGACCUUCCCUGAAAACAGGAGGACAGGUCUUCGGUCAAGGGUAUGCAAGUAGCUGUGUUCCCCUGCUAGAACCUCCAACCAAACUCUCAAGAACUACUAGGGUUUGCCCAUGCCAAGGUGUUAUUGUAUUUCUGGCUACCCAGUGGGUGGAUGCCAGGUCAC
rnacentral:snRNA from 1 species